CCUAAAACUGUGUGGUCCAAUGCCAUUUAACUACCAGGUUGGACCGCACAGAUUUAGACC
ensembl:miRNA Mir7236 microRNA 7236